GUUCAAAGACCCUUUCAUAAUCUAAAAAUGCAAGUUUUUUUUAAUAAUAUUUUGACAAUACUUUGUUCUCAAAGCAAAAUGUAUAAAUUCAGUGUAAAACUUAAGUUUCUAGAGUCAACAUCAAAAGACCAAUGUGCAUGAUAAAGCAAAAAUGGAAUUCACAUAGUUAAGUGACUGUGGCUGGUGUUUUUUUUAAUUUAAACUCAUGAUCAAGUUCAUAACAAAAUUACUAGAUUACAAAAGGAAUGCAACACUAACAGAAUACAGAAGGGUAAUCAAUGAACAAACGACAAAUAAAUAAGAAACAUUGAUCCCGAAAAGUCAGGGCUACGUCUGAGGGGAAACAGAACUUGCUUCUUGCAAGGCACUCGCCGUGAACAUAAUUU
rnacentral:lncRNA from 1 species